GUUAAUGUAGCUUAACUAAAGCAAAGCACUGAAAAUGCUUAGAUGGGUACUAUUACCCCAUAAACA
rnacentral:tRNA from 1 species